AGCGAACGCUGGCGGCAGGCUUAACACAUGCAAGUCGAGCGGGCGUAGCAAUACGUCAGCAGCAGACGGGUGAGUAACGCGUGGGAACGUACCUUUUGGUUCGGAACAACACAGGGAAACUUGUUCUAAUACCGGAUAAGCCCUUACGGGGAAAGAUUUAUCGCCGAAAGAUCGGCCCGCGUCUGAUUAGCUAGUUGGUGAGGUAACGGCUCACCAAGGCGACGAUCAGUAGCUGGUCUGAGAGGAUGAUCAGCCACAUUGGGACUGAGACACGGCCCAAACUCCUACGGGAGGCAGCAGUGGGGAAUAUUGGACAAUGGGGGCAACCCUGAUCCAGCCAUGCCGCGUGAGUGAUGAAGGCCCUAGGGUUGUAAAGCUCUUUUGUGCGGGAAGAUAAUGACGGUACCGCAAGAAUAAGCCCCGGCUAACUUCGUG
rnacentral:rRNA from 1 species